rnacentral:rRNA from 1 species
GACGAGCGCUGGCGACGUGCUUAACACAUGCAAGUCGAACGCUGAAGCUCAGCUUUUGUUGGGUGGAUGAGUGGCGAACGGGUGAGUAACACGUGAGUAACCUGCCCCCUUCUUUGGGAUAACGCCCGGAAACGGGUGCUAAUACUGGAUAUUCACUGGUCUUCGCAUGGGGGUUGGUGGAAAGGGUUUUUCUGGUGGGGGAUGGGCUCGCGGCCUAUCAGCUUGUUGGUGGGGUGAUGGCCUACCAAGGCUUUGACGGGUAGCCGGCCUGAGAGGGUGACCGGUCACAUUGGGACUGAGAUACGGCCCAGACUCCUACGGGAGGCAGCAGUGGGGAAUAUUGCACAAUGGGCGCAAGCCUGAUGCAGCGACGCCGCGUGAGGGAUGGAGGCCUUCGGGUUGUGAACCUCUUUCGCUCAUGGUCAAGCCGCAACAAUGGUUGUGGUGAGGGUAGUGGGUAAAGAAGCGCCGGCUAACUACGUG